GCCCUGGUAGUAUAGUCCGGUCUAGUAUAGGCGGCUGUCGCCCGCCCGACAUUAGGAGGUUAUUUCCCGAAAACGGGAACCGGGUUCAAAUCCCGGCCAGGGCGCCA
rnacentral:tRNA from 1 species